GUCUCAAUCCUUAAGGAUCCUAUGAAACUACUCCUUCAACAUAUCAACCCUUGAAAAGAGAACUUCUUCUCUUGCAAAAACAAAAAAAAAAAAUUGUUAACAAAAAAGUCUCAAGUUUUCAUAUUUUUAGAUCCAGUAUAUUGAGCUCUUUCAAAAGUUUUUUUGAAGAAAUAAUCAUCAUUUUAACAUAAGGUUCCAAUCCAU
rnacentral:misc_RNA from 1 species